rnacentral:pre_miRNA from 1 species
UUCGGUUUGGAUAAUUGUGGUUACUAACGGUUCGGUUCGGUUGUAAUUGUUAUCAAAAUUAUGGUUCGGUUUGAGA